CCUCUUCUCUUUCCUUCCUUUUCCUUUUCCUUUUCUUUUUCUUUCUUAAAUCGAUCGACACGUUGGUUUGGUCGACGUACGACGCGAGUUCCACGACCCGAAACACGUCCACGACGACUUCCUAGUUCUUCUUCCUCCUCCUCCUCCAUCUCCCAUACCACACUCGAUAUUACCAGCAGGUCACGCGCGUACCCUGCGUGGAAAAAACUCCAGAGGAUGACCAACUCUCGCACGCUUCCUGAUCAGCUAGAAAGAAUUGAGUCGAAUUUGAAGACACGAGCUCGGAUCUGGCGUCGGGUUGUGGGUCGUUGGAGGCCAAUCUGCUACUUCAUGACCUCCGAGGUCACUUGUCGCAACCACCGUGAGCCUCCUCUUAUCUUCGUUUGACAGAGGUCAAGAUAGAGAGAUAGGCCGGCUCGACUUACCGGGACAGCUUACCGGCGCGACGGUGGUGAGGUACGUGCAGUAGCAAAGGUGGAGGGGCGGGGGCUAAAUUAGAAAAAGGAUCGAGACCCUUUAAUAUGCAUACAGACGUUUUAUCUUCGUAAUAUUUUUGUGGGGCACAAAAGUAUUUGAAUACGUAGAGAGACUUUUGGAGUU